rnacentral:rRNA from 1 species
CCCUCACAUUUGAGCAAUGGGGGGACGCAGGAGGAUAGGGUAAGCGCGGUAUUGGAUAUCCGCGUCCAAGCAGUUAGGCUGGGAAAUAGGCAAAUCCGUUUCCCAUAAGGCUGAGCUGUGAUGGCGAGCGAGAUAUAGUAGCGAAGUUCCUGAUUCCACACUGCCAAGAAAAGCCUCUAGCGAGGUGAGAGGUGCCCGUACCGCAAACCGACACAGGUAGGCGAGGAGAGAAUCCUAAGGUGAUCGAGAGAACUCUCGUUAAGGAACUCGGCAAAAUGACCCCGUAACUUCGGGAGAAGGGGUGCUCUGUUAGGGUGCAAGCCCGAGAGAGCCGCAGUGAAUAGGCCCAGGCGACUGUUUAGCAAAAACACAGGUCUCUGCGAAGCCGUAAGGCGAAGUAUAGGGGCUGACGCCUGCCCGGUGCUGGAAGGUUAAGAGGAGCGCUUAGCGUAAGCGAAGGUGCGAAUUGAAGCCCCAGUAAACGGCGGCCGUAACGAUAACGGUCCUAAGGUAGCGAAAUUCCUUGUCGGGUAAGUUCCGACCCGCACGAAAGGCGCAACGAUCUGGGCACUGUCUCAACGAGAGACUCGGUGAAAUUAUAGUACCUGUGAAGAUGCAGGUUACCCGCGACAGGACGGAAAGACCCCGUGGAGCUUUACUGCAGCCUGAUAUUGAAUGUUGGUACAGCUUGUACAGGAUAGGUAGGAGCCUUGGAAACCGGAGCGCCAGCUUCGGUGGAGGCAUCGGUGGGAUACUACCCUGGCUGUAUUGACCUUCUAACCCGCCGCCCUUAUCGGGCGGGGAGACAGUGUCAGGUGGGCAGUUUGACUGGGGCGGUCGCCUCCUAAAAGGUAACGGAGGCGCCCAAAGGUUCCCUCAAAAUGGUUGGAAAUCAUUCGCAGAGUGUAAAGGCACAAGGGAGCUUGACUGCGAGACCUACAAGUCGAGCAGGGACGAAAGUCGGGCUUAGUGAUCCGGUGGUUCCGCAUGGAAGGGCCAUCGCUCAACGGAUAAAAGCUACCCCGGGGAUAACAGGCUUAUCUCCCCCAAGAGUCCACAUCGACGGGGAGGUUUGGCACCUCGAUGUCGGCUCAUCGCAUCCUGGGGCUGUAGUCGGUCCCAAGGGUUGGGCUGUUCGCCCAUUAAAGCGGUACGCGAGCUGGGUUCAGAACGUCGUGAGACAGUUCGGUCCCUAUCCGUCGCGGGCGCAGGAAAUUUGAGAGGAGCUGUCCUUAGUACGAGAGGACCGGGAUGGACGCACCGCUGGUGUACCAGUUGUUCUGCCAAGGGCAUCGCUGGGUAGCUAUGUGCGGACGGGAUAAGUGCUGAAAGCAUCUAAGCAUGAAGCCCCCCUCAAGAUGAGAUUUCCCAUUCCGCAAGGAAGUAAGAUCCCUGAAAGAUGAUCAGGUUGAUAGGUCUGAGGUGGAAGUGUGGCGACACAUGGAGCUGACAGAUACUAAUCGAUCGAGGACUUAACC